GCAAACACGAGGAAAGAAAAGAAAAUCGAAUGUUUUCAAACUAGAGCAAAAAACACUAAAAUUUUAAAUAUUAACAUUUAAUCAAAGUUCACUUUUGACAUUCAAAUUUAGUGGAAUACUAUAAACUACCGCCCAAAUUCCAAUGUGACAGGUGCAUCAGCAAUGUGUAUUAAAGUGUUUGUAACUGUCCAUGUGGAUGACUGGACUAUAGGAGAGGCCAGUCGGUGAGUAGGACCAGUCUUUGAUCUAAGAGGACUCAAGCACACCAAGACAAUGAAGUCUGUCAAGAUGAGACUCUAGUCUCUAUAGAAACAUUAGAUAAGUGCAUUUCUCUUCCUACAGCCUUUUUUACAAGCAGGUAAAAACUAAUCAGCACAUCUCUUAACUGGACAGCAGAACUAACCCUGCACAAAUGUGUUCCACCGAUGUUCCAAAUUGGGAGAAAGUUCAAUAAAUUCUUUGUGUUCAUAAUACACAGUAUCAGUGCACUGCUCUCCAUAUCUUUCAAUAUGGUCUACCAUAUUUCAGAUUUACUGGAUGAAAUCUUUACUCUUUCUUUGAAAAUGCAGCUGUUUAGGUAUUAAUCUACAGAAAGACUGGCCAGACUGCUGCGGUGGCAUCUCAAUCAGCUACCUCAACUCUCUUCCACCUGUGUGAGGUACACUCCAAUUCCACUGCCCUACUGUGACAGUAGUCCUUGUUCUGCUGUAGGUCACCAAGGCUGCAGAGCAGAACAGGGACUAUUGUCAGCAGCCACAACUCAGCUGAUAUAACUUGAGUCCGUCUACAGGUUGAGGGGCUUGCUGAAUUUGCCGCCGAUUAAUUCUGUUAUAUAUUACAGCAAGCUCUACAGUACACAAUAAUAUAUUGUUAACAUAUACUAUUACUGUAAAACCUCAUCUAGGAAACACUACAGCUAUAUAGGAUAGGGUGAUACAUUGAAUAUACUUGAUGUAUCAUGGGUUUUUCCACGAACGAUGGUUAAAAUGGUUUUAACAUAAACAUCAAGUUGAAAUUGCCGCAAUAUAAAGCUGUCUGCAUGCAAUUCACUGUCAGUUUUUUUUUCUCCCACACGCUGCAAAUGCAUCAUUAAUCCCCCCUCCCAACCGGAAAAAUUUCUACCUGUGCUGAGCAUGCGUGUUUACUACCUGAUAAGGAAAAAUAUGGCGACGGCCGGAGUUACAGAGGACGGAGGGAAUGAGACUGUUGUUUGGAUUUCACAAGGAGGAGAUUGAACAAAAUACGAUUCCCUGCUAGAGCCGAGGCCCAGGAGAAGCGACAUAUCACACACUGAACCCAUCAAAGUCCUCACAAAAAUGAGUAAAUAACGUUAGAUGAAUGGAAAUCUAACAUCUACAGAAAUCAUCCACUUCUACAAUUUCAUGCAGCCAUGGAUGCCGCCAUGUGCCACAGACCUCACGCCGCCAUUACGCCGCCACCUGUCACGGACUCUACCCCGCUGCAUGUACCCGAGGGACACCAGAACCUGAACCCAAGUCAUUGGGUCCCUGUCUGUUCGUCACACUCGGGCAAUCUAAGCCUGCUGGCUUCAUGGACAGAUAAAGUUGGGUGUAAUCUGCGUAGAAGUGAAAAUGGCUGCUAUUCCUUCUAAUGAUUCUGCAGGCAGCAUGUAUAAUGUAAACAGAAUUAAGGAAUCCUGUGGAACUCCAUAACUACUGUGUGAAGAGGACUCUCCAUUUACAUGAACAAAUUGGGGUCUAUUAGUUAGAUAUGAUUCAAACCACUGCAGCACAGUACCUGUAAUACCUACAGUAUGCUCUAAUUGCUCUAAUAGAAUAUUUUGGUCAACAGUAUCGUACGCUGCACUGAGGUCUAGCAGGAUAAGCACAGAGAUGAGUCCACUGUCAGAAGCCAUAAACAGAUUAUUUGUAACCUUAAAUAAAGCUGUUUCUGUGCUGUGAUGAGCUCUGAAACCUGACUGAAACUCUUCAUGAAGCCAUU